rnacentral:rRNA from 1 species
UACAGAGGUCCCAAGCGUUGUUCGGAUUCACUGGGCGUAAAGGGUGCGUAGGUGGUGGGGUAAGUCGGAUGUGAAAGCUCGGAGCUCAACUCCGAAAUGGCAUUGGAAACUACCCUGCUAGAGGAUUGGAGAGGUAGCUGGAAUUCUUGGUGUAGCAGUGAAAUGCGUAGAGAUCAAGAGGAACACUCGUGGCGAAAGCGAGCUACUGGACAAUUCCUGACGCUGAGGCUCGAAGGCUAGGGUAGCGAAAGGG